GGGCCCUUUGCUCAAUGGUAGAGCAAUUGACUCAAAUACCAAAGGUCGUGGAUUCAAGUCCCAUUUGGUCCA
rnacentral:tRNA from 1 species